CCCGCGUGANGGAUGACGGCCUUCGGGUUGUAAACCUCUUUCAGUACCGACGAAGCGCAAGUGACGGUAGGUACAGAAGAAGCACCGGCCAACUACGUGCCAGCAGCCGCGGUAAUACGUAGGGUGCGAGCGUUGUCCGGAAUUACUGGGCGUAAAGAGCUCGUAGGCGGUUUGUCGCGUCGUCUGUGAAAACCCGCAGCUCAACUGCGGGCUUGCAGGCGAUACGGGCAGACUUGAGUACUGCAGGGGAGACUGGAAUUCCUGGUGUAGCGGUGAAAUGCGCAGAUAUCAGGAGGAACACCGGUGGCGAAGGCGGGUCUCUGGGCAGUAACUGACGCUGAGGAGCGAAAGCGUGGGUAGCGAACAGGAUUAGAUACCCUGGUAGUCCACGCCGUAAACGGUGGGCGCUAGGUGUGGGUUUCCUUCCACGGGAUCCGUGCCGUAGCUAACGCAUUAAGCGCCCCGCCUGGGGAGUACGGCCGCAAGGCUAAAACUCAAAGGAAUUGACGGGGGCCCGCACAAGCGGCGGAGCAUGUGGAUUAAUUCGAUGCAACGCGAAGAACCUUACCUGGGUUUGACAUACACCGGACCGCCCCAGAGAUGGGGUUUCCCUUGUGGUCGGUGUACAGGUGGUGCAUGGCUGUCGUCAGCUCGUGUCGUGAGAUGUUGGGUUAAGUCCCGCAACGAGCGCAACCCUUGUCCUGUGUUGCCAGCACGUAAUGGUGGGGACUCGCAGGAGACUGCCGGGGUCAACUCGGAGGAAGGUGGGGACGACGUCAAGUCAUCAUGCCCCUUAUGUCCAGGGCUUCACACAUGCUACAAUGGCCGGUACAGAGGGCUGCGAUACCGCGAGGUGGAGCGAAUCCCUUAAAGCCGGUCUCAGUUCGGAUCGGGGUCUGCAACUCGACCCCGUGAAGUCGGAGUCGCUAGUAAUCGCAGAUCAGCAACGCUGCGGUGAAUACGUUCCCGGGCCUUGUACACACCGCCCGUCACGUCAUGAAAGUCGGUAACACCCGAAGCCGGUGGCCUAACCCCUCGUGGGANGGAGCCGUCGAAGGUGGGAUCGGCGAUUGGGACGAAGUCGUAANAAGGUAGCCGUACCGGAAG
rnacentral:rRNA from 1 species